CUGCUGUUUCUUGUGCCCCUUCUCUUUCGUCUGCCACAUCUGGUGUGCAAACAUAACACGAGUUGCACCGUCCAUGAUGUGUCCAGAAUUCCACAUGAAUACUACCAACCUGGUGAUCUUAUUGUUGGCGGACUUGCUUCCCACCUCCUUACUGCUUUUGACGAAGAAAACUUCAAAGAAAGGCUAACUACCCAUCAGCUUCUAAAUACCUUGUAAACACUUCAAAUGUCGAAUAAUCAGAUGAUACUGAAAUAUCCCCUAGCUCUAACCAGGCCUACUCAGAAGCUAGUUCCAGGGAUUUCAGUGGGAUUUACAUCAAGGCAGAUGGAGGGGGGCAUUUCCAAAGCUGAAGAGUUGGCUUGGAAGAAGGGAGAUGCAGAUCUGAAUGGGUCAGUGUGAUGAGAGAGAGCCUGGUCUUGUUGAUGUGUGCUCUCCUCCUCACAUCCCACCAAAUCUCUUCCAAGGAGAGUUUAACUAGGGGAGGACUCACAGACCAAACCUCCGUAGUUUAAAAUGGAAAGCCCUUCUCUGUUCUUAAUCUUCACCUCAGAAACUCUCCUGUGAGUGGUCUUAAUGGUUCACCUUUCCAUUGAGGUGGUGCUCCUAGAGCCCCUGAUGUUCUCAUCUAAGUUGGGCUAGUCGACUGCAUUUAAUAUUUCUAGAGAGGGCCUGGGUUAGAUACAUUCUAACUGUAUUCAGCUGAAGGUAGUGAUCAGUGAAGAAAUGUCAGUUAACAGUCAGUUGGGAGAAGUUCUGAGGGAGGUGUAAAUUCCAAUUCAGAGGUAAAGAUCAGGUUUUCCUGGAGGAAAAUGGCAGGACUUGGGGAAGUCUGAAUGAGCCCUAGAUGAAGAUAAAUUCUGCUCACCUCUUAUUAGAAGAACAUUAUAAAAGCACAUUUCUUAAAUGAGAUGAGCUGUCCAAGCAGCCAAGAAUAUAAUCUGAGGAGUUUGACAGUCAGAACCUAGAUUGUACCUAGCUGCUAAACUAAUCUGUGUGUGAACUGGACACGAGUGGAGGCUUAGGGAAGUUGGUAUGAGAGAAAAGGCGUUAGAGGCUGGUGUCAACAAGAGCAUCUCUUGGAUGUUCAAAAAGUGUUGUCAAGUAUAUAAUGAACCCCAAAGUAAAUAUCAAUAUUCCGUUAUUGGGAAGGGGGGAAUUCAAUUUAGUUCAUAUUUACUGUAAAUGAGAAGCUACCAAAAAAAAUACUCUUGAAAAUAUAUUGAAACCAAACACAGUCAUCAUUUGAAAUUCAAACUUCUCCAGUUUGAAGAAUCAUUUAAGAGACCCCUUAGGGGGGAAAAUGCAUAGCCUAUCUCCCAAUGAUACAGCAUAAAAUUCUCAUUGCAGUAUUGUGCCAAAGAACUACCAGCAUAUUCUGGCCUUGGUAUUUGCUGUCAAGGAGAUCAAUGAGAACCCCAGGAUCUUACCUAAUAUUACACUGGGAUUCCACAUCUAUGACAAUUAUUUUGAUGAAAGGAUGACGUACCGGGCAGCUCUGAACCUUCCCUCUACCCUUAUACCCAACUACAAGUGCAACAUCCAGAAACACCUGGUGGCGGUUAUUGGGGGACUGGACUUGGAUACCUCCAUCUACCUGGCAAACAUCUUGGGCAUCUACAAGAUUCCCCAGGUAAGAUACCCUUGGGGGUUUCCACACUCAUUCAUCACAAUCUUUUCUAUCUAGAAAGGAUUUGUAUAAUAGAGAAAUAGUUGUGAGAGACAAAGGAGAGUGAUUCUGCCCUUCACAAAAAGUGUUCCCAGUGUGCUUUGCACAAUUAAAUAGAAUGCGUAGCAUCAAGCUGUCAGGUGACAUUAAACUAUCAGCAUAAUAAAAACAUGUCUGCUCUAGGUGGCCAUUCCUCUCCCCAUUCUUAGGCACACUGACCAUUUCUCUCUGAUGGAGGUCUGAGAAGUGAAUGCUACGUCCAUCUAGCUUGGUGUCUCAGGUUCAGCUGAUGAUGCCACCCUCCAUAGGGAUAUCCUAUUGCAUAAUAAUAAUGUUACUGUUUAUACCUCACCCAUUUUACUGGGUUGCCCCAGCCAUUAUGAGUGGCUUCCAUCAUAUGUAAAAUCAUAAUAAAAUAUUAAACAUUUAAAAAACUUCCUUAUAUGGGAUUGUCUUCAGAUGGCUCGGGGAUUGGAUAACUCCAUACCCUCCAACAUUUCUGAUGAAAAGAAGGACAUCCUAAGAAAAAUGGGGCAUUGUGGGAUCAAAUCAGAAACUGGGACUGCUUCUGUAAAUCUGGCACUGUCCUUGGAAAAUAGGGACACUAGGAGGGUCUGCCACUGUGUUGCAUGCCAGAGAGCUGCAGGAAUGUGGUUUUUCUCAAGUGCUUUUUCCACAGGAGAGUGCUGUAGCAGCACACCAAAUGCCAUGGAGAAGGGGAGAGUGAAGUGAAGAUAUCUCCCUCCCUCCCUCCCAUCCACCCUGCCAACAUAUUUAUUUUUACCACCACAGUCAUUAGAGAUGCACAAGGGCCAGCCCAAGACCCUUUGCUGCCUGAGGUGAACCAGCAAAUUAUACCCCAGUGGAACUGCAGUUUGCAAACGCUGCUGAGUUAGAGCAUGGAUAAGGAAUAUCCGAUUUAGGGAAAAAUGUAGCCCUCAAAACACUCUCCAGUCCUGCUUUCCCAACCCCUUGAGUGAGUUUGGCAGCUUGUUUUUUUACUGACUGAAAAGUGUCUUGGGAUGGAGAGAAGGUAAUGUGAUUAUGGAAGAGUGCUCAUCUCACCUCACUUCCUUAUCCACACACACCUAAAACAUGUAUUGAAAUUCCAUGCUGCUGACUGACACCCUCUCACUUUUGCUUCAUGGCCUACUGGUUGGAGAUGGAAGCUGAUCUCUUGCAAAGCUGGAAGCCUGCGAAUUCCUAUGCCCCACAAAUAACCCAGACAUGCAUUUUAAAUAAAAGGACACAUUCUACUCAUGUAAAAACACGCUGAUUCCUGGACCGUCCGUGGGCCUGAUUUAGAAGGUGAUUGGGCCACAUCCGGCCCCCGGGCCUUAGGUUGUCUACCCCAGUCCUAACCAGUCCAAAAUUCCUUCCUGCAGUAUCCUAUUGGUCAGGAAACUGUAGUUACAUACUUUUCUGAUAUGCCUUCUUCAUGUCUUCUUUUUGACAUAUGCUCCCAACUGUUACAUACAUCCCAUGUCCAUUCACAUACAUCCCAUGUUCAUGUAAAUUGAGUGUUCAGACCCAGAAACCUCCCCCCUAAAUAAAUUCACACUUGACUCAAAUUUUGCUUUUGGUUUUUGGCAGAAUUUAGGCCUCAACUUUAUUGAUUACAGAAAGUGAGUGGUUGUAUAGGCUCUGGUUGGACUAGCUCCCUGCCAUGCAGGUAGUGCUGACCCAGGGUUCCAGCAUAGGUCAGCCAAGGGUGAACACCUGGAUAGGCAAAAAGUCAGGAAUGGACUAUGUCUGCCACCCAGAUGUCCCCCUGGACUCAGGCACGGACACAACCCCCUCACAGGGGUUGACCAAACCAUUUGAGCCCCUGGAUUCCUUUAACAGAAUACCCUUCACAUAGGGAUGGCGAGAGCAUUCAACCAUCCCUAUCACCUGAACCAGAGCCUAUCCACAACCUUACAAGUUGUGACAAUUUGCUACGUGGCAGUCAAAACCCAAAUGACAACAGCCAAUCAGCCAAGUGGGGAAAAUUCUUGCCGUGCCCCUGUCCCAACGACAGAUGACACACGGCGGCGUAGCAAGGUCAAGUGCAACAAGCCCUAAAGUAGGAAGAGGUGGGCGGGUGUUCCGAAUGCAUGUGCCCAAAGAGGAAGCUCUGGGUCAUGUGCAUAGGCAUAUAUAGGUCCCUUGAUCUGUUUGGACUGCACCCCAUUGGCCAAAUUGAACCCAGCAUCGAGGGACCUACCAACUGGGUGCUGUGGCUGACCAAUCUAACCCACCCACAACACAGGGGAUCGGAUUCCAGGUCUCACUGCAACACAUACCCUCUUUAAGGGAGGACACGAUUAAGCUGUAUCUCCGCCUGGGGCGUGCUUACUAAUAUUCAUGAAGCUUUUAAGCAUGCACAAUGCUCUCUUAACUAUUCUCUGCCAUUCUGAGUCACCCAGACCCUAUACAUCUAUCAACUCUCCAGGGUCAGUGUGGGCUUCUAAUACAUUCUUCCAUAGAUAACGCUGUUCCUAGCCAUCUAAUGGCAACUUUAACAAGGAAAGGAGCCUCUUUGGGAGGAUUAUCCAAUUCAGCUAGCCUGUUUACUCCUCACAGCUGCUAUGUCUCCUUUUUAGUAUCUCCAGCAAUUAAACUCAGGUUGUAAUACAUUAUUUUGCACAGAUAAGCAGUUCUACAGAAGGGGCCCUUUGCGAAUCUCUUGUGGGCAAAGAGUUUAAAAACAGAACCUCAGUGUCUAAUGGCAGGCAUGGUCGUUCCUGCUCUUAUUUAUUUAUUUAUUUAUUUAUUUAUUAUUCCACACACCCCUCCCUGCUUUCUGGAAACUGCUUUUUUGAGGCAACUUGCUCAUCUUGCCUCCUGGGUGGGCAGGCCCUGGAUGCACGUGCCCAGUCCUUCUGCAAUUAUAGAUGAUGCUCCUUUAUUUCCUUUUAGCUAACUUAUGGCUCCUUUUCUCCAGAGGAUACUGGUCAAAGCCAAUCCGCUUCCUUCUACAGGAUGGUGCCCAAUGAAGCCCAACAGUACACUGGGAUUGUUGAGUUACUUCUGCACUUUGCUUGGACGUGGGUUGGGUUGCUUGCUGCAGAAAGUGGAGAGAGAUUUAUUCAGACGCUGAAACCUCUGCUCUCCCAGAAAGGUAUUUGCUUGGCCUUCUCAGAGACAAACCUGAAAAAAACACAUUUGGCUGAGUACUAUCUCAUGUAUUUCCACUGGAUCCAAAUUUAUCAAGCUAUUAGGGAAAGUAAAGCCAAGGUGGUGGUUGUCUAUGGAGGAACAAAGUCCAUGCUUGUAUUGCAGACAAUGAUAGCACUAGGUGAAAUGGAAAAUGUGACCAAGACAUCUGAUGGCAAGGUGUGGAUUUUGACAGCACAACUGGAUUUCACAGCACCGCCCUUGCAAAUGAGCCUGGAUAUGCAAAUCUUCCAGGGUUCCCUCUCCUUUGCAGUUCAUUCAAAUGUGGUACAAGGAUUCAAAGCCUUUCUUCAGGCACAAAAUCCUUUUGAGGCAAAUGGAAAUGGCUUUGUCAAGCAGUUCUGGGCACAAGUCUUUCUCUGUUUAUUUCCAUACUCCAGUACAAAGGAGCAGGCCAGUGAAACCUGCACUGGAGAGGAGAAGCUGGAGAAUCUCCCUUCGUCUGCUUUUGAGAUGACCAUGUCUGGCCACAGCUACAGUCUCUAUACUGCUGUCUAUGCCAUAGCACAUGCUCUACAUGCCAUGUUUCUGCCUGGAGCCAAAUAUAGGAGAAUGGUGGAAGGAGAGAUGCAGGAGUUUUGGCCUUGUCAGGUAAUCCCUGUCAUUUGAUAUCAUUUAUUUGACAUAGGCAGUGAUAUGCAAAACAGUACCCUGAAAAAUUUUAAUCUCCACAUUCUCCAUUUGUGUGCGGAGAAGCUGCUCAUUCAGGACUAGCUCAGUGAAGAGUCAGACUGUUCUGCUUACAGCUGUUUAGCAGGCGGAUCCAACCCUGCACUCUCCAGUUGUUUUGUGAGCAACUUCCUUUGUGUGCAUGGGAAAACAUGCAGCAAACAGAAGCAUGGAAAUAUAGGAUGUAAAACCGUAAAAUAUGCCCUUUCCAGUGAAUUCCAGAAAAUCCCACUUUCCUAGCACAAAAAUAGAUCACAAGCUUAGCAGGUCGUAAUGUGGUUUACUUACAAAACUCUUCUAAGUUCAAAAGUUUUAUGGAACACAACACUCAGAAAAAUGUUGCAGAAGUAGAAGACAAAAUGGUAAAAGUUCCUAAUCUUUCUAUUGGUAUAGAAAAUGGUAGUUUCAGAUUACAUUCUUGUCUGAAAUAAACAGGCUUCUUAAUUCCAUGUGGCUGUAGGGAGCAUCUCAGAACUCCACACAAACGAAAUUCACAUAUAGAGUGAGCAGAACAAUAGGCUUUGUUGCCCAUUUCUUCAAAAGAUAAGGGGCUGGGACAUAGGCCAAGUCUGUCAGAACACCUUUUUCUAACGACAUUAAACCCUUUAUGUAUUUGUUAGACACAAGAAUGAAGGUUAUAUGAGGCUAGUUGGGCAGUGUGUGUGUGUGUGUGUGUGUGUGUGUGUGUGUGUGUGUGUAGAUAUCCAAGCAUGGUCAGUCAUGCAUUGGGAUUUUCCCCAUAGGAAACAAUGGAGAUCAUUGGCUCAGUAUGUGAAUGCUCGCCCUACAAACCAUUUCUCAGAAAACAGAUUAUAUUUGCAUGGCACUACCUCCCUGUGUUGACAGUCUGGAGGCAUCCUGAAUGUGAGAAAGGAGAGACAUUUGCAUUACUUCAAAGUUACUCUUUUUCUUUCAAUGCAGCUCCAUCCCUUUCUUAGGAGUGUCUCCUUUAACAACUCUGCUGGGGAAACAGUAUCUUUUAGUAAGAACAGGGAAGUAGAAGCUGGCUUUGAUAUCACCAACCUGGUCACUUUUCCAAAUAACUCCUUCAUGAAGGUGAAGGUUGGAAGGGUUGGUGUGGAGGCUACACCUGACCAGCCAUUCACCCUUGAUGACAACAGAAUGGUGUGGCACAGAAGCUUUCACCAGGUGAGGCAUAAUUCCCACAU